rnacentral:rRNA from 1 species
AUUGAACGCUGGCGGCAGGCCUAACACAUGCAAGUCGAGCGGAUGAAGGGAGCUUGCUCCUAGAUUCAGCGGCGGACGGGUGAGUAAUGCCUAGGAAUCUGCCUGGUAGUGGGGGAUAACGUCCGGAAACGGGCGCUAAUACCGCAUACGUCCUGAGGGAGAAAGUGUGGGAUCUUCGGACCUCACGCUAUCAGAUGAGCCUAGGUCGGAUUAGCUAGUUGGUGGGGUAAAGGCCUACCAAGGCGACGAUCCGUAACUGGUCUGAGAGGAUGAUCAGUCACACUGGAACUGAGACACGGUCCAGACUCCUACGGGAGGCAGCAGUGGGGAAUAUUGGACAAUGGGCGAAAGCCUGAUCCAGCCAUGCCGCGUGUGUGAAGAAGGUCUUCGGAUUGUAAAGCACUUUAAGUUGGGAGGAAGGGCAGUAAGUUAAUACCUUGCUGUUUUGACGUUACCAACAGAAUAAGCACCGGCUAACUUCGUG